rnacentral:rRNA from 1 species
UGGGGAAUAUUGCACAAUGGGCGCAAGCCUGAUGCAGCCAUGCCGCGUGUGCGAAGAAGGCCUUCGGGUUGUAAGCACUUUCAGCGAGGAGGAAGGUGGUGGACUUAAUACGUUCAUCAAUUGACGUUACUCGCAGAAGAAGCACCGGCUAACUCCGUGCCAGCAGCCGCGGUAAUACGGAGGGUGCAAGCGUUAAUCGGAAUUACUGGGCGUAAAGCGCACGCAGGCGGUUUGUUAAGUCAGAUGUGAAAUCCCCGGGCUCAACCUGGGAACUGCAUUUGAAACUGGCAAGCUAGAGUCUCGUAGAGGGGGUAGAAUUCCAGGUGGUAGCGGUGAAAUGCGUAGAGAUCUGGAGGAAUACCGGUGGCGAAGGCGG